rnacentral:lncRNA from 1 species
AGGUGAGCACAUGAACUUGGGAUGGCCACAUGGUGAGAAAGAAAUUUGGGAAGUUUGUACAUGUGGAAAGACUUAUUUUUGAUAGGUGAAUGUGUGAAGAAUUUGAUGAAGUGCAGUGUGGGAUUAAGCAUCAUUCAAUCGGAUUUGACUUGACCUGCAUACAUAAGGCUCAAUCAGUAAAUAAAUAAGUAAAACUCAAAUUAUCUUUAAUAAUUUACUAAAAUGCAAUGAUGAAGAUAACAUAUUUUUUUAGUUAAAUUUACAAAAUAUGUGAAUUAAAAUAAUGAUA